CACCGGGGUGUGUGUGUGUGGGGGGGGGGGGGCGCGCCGCGCCUCCGGCUUCGCUCCCACUCAGGAAAUAGCUCCGCCGGCCGGGCGCCUCUAACCGCACCGGCUCGGCCGGUGUAAGCGGGCGCUGCGCGCAGCUGCGGCCCGCACGCUAUUGGUCGUUUACUGCGGUCGAACUCAUUGCGGUGGAAGCCUCCGAAGUUGUCCCGACCCGCGCGUGUAGACGGCAGAUGGCAUUCAGAUUAUCAAGGUAUCAGGAGCUCACCAAAGUCCAAAGUACACUCCUGCCUGACACCUGGAGCAGGAAUCUCUGGUUCCGACUUUGGCCUCAUCAGCUAGCUGCCGUCAGAGGAAAGUGCAGGAGUCUUGGGAUCAUGUUGCAAGGAUUGAUCGGCAAGGCUGUGGACUCAUUUUGGAGGUUCAUGUUGCAUGUGUUCCUGGAUUCUGUUUUUUUUAAUGCUUUUGAGCAGUUUGAUCAGGACUGAAGGGAAGAGUGGUUCUGCAGCUUGCAGUGGGCCAGUGGCUCAGCACUGAAGUGAACUAAACUUAGUACUACUGGAAGUACUAACUCACAGACCUCUGUUGAUACCCCUGCCCCCCCCCUUACCCCCAUCCCUAUCUAUUAUUUCAGUCUGGUUCUCUUUCUCUCUCUUUCCCCCCCCCCCCUCACUAUAAUCUCCUCCCAGCCCUACCUUUCUUUCUCUCUUAUUUCCCAUAAUUCUCCACCUUCCCCCAGCCCAUUCCCCUCCAGUCUAUCACUUCCCAGCUCUCUACUUUAUCCCUCCCCCCACUUCUUAUCCCCCCUCGACCAUCCCAUGUUACUUCACUCCUGAUUAAGGGUUUCGGCCCGAAACGUCGUCACUACCUCCUCCCAUAGAUGCUGUCUGGCCUGCUGAGUUCUGCCAGCAUUUUGUGUUUUUAUUUAGUACUACUGGACUUGUGGUUUGAGUUUUGAUAUUCUAGGUGUUGUUCGCUUGCUCUUUGCCCAUUGUGCAACUUGUUCUUUGCUUCGUGUGUUGGGUGUUUGAUGUUUUCUUGAUCGGGUUCCGAGGUGUUCCUAUGUUUUGUGGCUGCCUGCAGGGGAAUGAAUCUCAGAGUUGCAUUCUGUGUACGUGGAGGGUUAAACAACAUCGCAGAAUCAUUACUGUAUCUUUCUGGUGAUGUUGUGUCGUGAUGGAGCUCAGAGUAGAGAGUUCAGUGUUGAGCUUUGUGAGAUGAUUCAAAGGAAUUUUAUACAAAAGGUCAAGGAUUAAAAAGGUUAAGACAUCCUUCUCAAAGACAAGUUACCUGAAUGGAUCAAUGGGAGUCCUUAACCCCUAUGAGCCAAGGAAACAUGAGCCAAUAGAAUUCAAAGGUCAGCUGAAGAGGUAGCCAAUCAAGACCGAGGCAAGUGAACAGGGGCCUUUAUAAACACAAGCACUACCAAAGAGAAACACCAAUGACUGAACACCACUGAGGAUGUCAUCUUGGCUGGUGAUGAAACAUCUGUAAGUUAAUUGCCAAGUUCGUCGAACACCGCAGCAUCAAAGAAUUUUAAGAGGAACGUGAGGGGCAACUUUUUCAUACUGAUUGUGGUAAAUAUAUGGAACAAGCUACCAGAGGAAGUGGUUGAGACAGGUACAAAACAACAGUUAACAAAGAUUUGGGCAGGUACAUUGUUAGGAAGAGAGGGAUAGGGACCAAAUGUAGGUAAAUAGGACCAGCUUAAGAGGCCAUCUUGGUUGCCUUGCAACAGUUAGGCUGAAGGGCCUAUUCCUAUGCCAUAUGAUUCCACUUCCUUGACAAUAUGCCAAGAUUUUGCAUUCUGGGAGAAGUAAAAGUCACUUGUUGAAUGAAAUCUUUGACAAGUUCAGAAUCUCAGUACAACCACAGGGAAAAACUACGCCUGGAUUAAUUUCAGACAUAUAUUCCAAAAUCUUUUUUUAAGUGUAUUUUCACAAUAUAGACACUGCUUUUAAAAUUGGCAUUAUUUACUCAGAAGGUGUUCUCAACAGGCGUGAGAAGAUGUUAUCUAAAACUUCGACAAACUUCUAUAGUUUUACAUUGGAGAGUGUCCUGACUGGUUGCAUUACAGCCUGGUAUGGAAACAGCAAUGCCCAAGAAAGGAAAACCCUACAAAAAGUGGUGGAUUCAGCCCAGUCCAUCACAGUAAAAGGUCUCCCCACUGUUGAGCACAUCUACAGGGAACACUGCCAUAAGACAGCAGCAUCCACCAUCAGGGACCCCUACCAUCCAGGCCAUGCCCUCUUCUCAUUGUUGAUGUCAGAAAGGAGGUACAGGAGCCUUAGGUCCCACACCACCACAUUCAUGAACAGUUAUUAUCCUUCAGCCAUUAGGCUCCUGAAACAAUGUGGAUAACUUCACUCUCCUCAACAUUGAACACAAUGUAUAGACUCACUUUUGAGGGUUCUACAAUUCAUGUUCUCAGUAUUAUUAAUUUAUUUAUUGAUUGAUUGAUUAUUAAUAUUAUCAUUUGUUUAUAUUUCCACAGAUUGUCUUCUUUUACACCUUGGUUGCUUAUCAGUCUUUGUGUGCAGUUUUUUCAUUGAUUCUAUUGAGUUUCUUUGUUCUUCACUGAAUGCCUACGUUGGAGAGGGUUAAAAGGAGGUCAACGAAAAUGAUUUCUGGAUGGAAAGGCUUGUCAUAUGAGGAAUGUUUGAGGGCUCUGGGCUUCUACUCACUGGAAUUCAGAAGAAUGACGGGUGACUUCACUGAAACCUAGUGAAUGUUGAAAGGCCUUGAUAGGGUUGAUGUGGAGAGGAUGUUUCCUGUGGUGGGGGAGUCGGACACCAGAGGACAUACACUCAGAAUAGAGGGACAUUUUUCUAGGGGUAUCCCCGCUCAUAUGGUUCCCUUGUUCCUGGUAGCAGAAGUCACACGAUUGGGAGGUGCUAUUGAAAACUAAUGAGUACAAGCUACUCUUUUUGCCAAUUUUCACAAUACAAUGCCAAAUAGCUAUUGUACGAAUGAUUGAGAGUGUACUGUACGGUAAGUACAGUACCUAUGUACACUAUUAAAACUUUAGACUUCGAACAGAUCCACAUUGAAUAGAAGUCAAGGAAGUGUGAAUGAGCCUACUUUGAAACAAUUGUUUUCAUCCGCUGAAGGUUAAUAAAAAUAUUAAAAUACUA